rnacentral:rRNA from 1 species
GACGAACGCUGGCGGCGUGCUUAACACAUGCAAGUCGAACGGAAAGGCCCUGCUUUUGUGGGGUGCUCGAGUGGCGAACGGGUGAGUAACACGUGAGUAACCUGCCCUUGACUUUGGGAUAACUUCAGGAAACUGGGGCUAAUACCGGAUAGGAGCUCCUGCUGCAUGGUGGGGGUUGGAAAGUUUCGGCGGUUGGGGAUGGACUCGCGGCUUAUCAGCUUGUUGGUGGGGUAGUGGCUUACCAAGGCUUUGACGGGUAGCCGGCCUGAGAGGGUGACCGGCCACAUUGGGACUGAGAUACGGCCCAGACUCCUACGGGAGGCAGCAGUGGGGAAUAUUGCACAAUGGGCGGAAGCCGGAUGCAGCAACGCCGCGUGCGGGAGGACGGCCUUCGGGUUGUAAACCGCUUUCGCUCAUGACGAAGCUUUGUGUGACGGUAGUGGGUAAAGAAGCACCGGCUAACUACGUG